AGUGAACGCUGGCGGUAGGCCUAACACAUGCAAGUCGAACGGCAGCACAGUAAGCGCUUGCUCUUACGGGUGGCGAGUGGCGGACGGGUGAGGAAUACAUCGGAAUCUACUUUUUCGUGGGGGAUAACGUAGGGAAACUUACGCUAAUACCGCAUACGACCUACGGGUGAAAGCAGGGGAUCUUCGGACCUUGCGCGAUUGAAUGAGCCGAUGUCGGAUUAGCUAGUUGGCGGGGUAAAGGCCCACCAAGGCGACGAUCCGUAGCUGGUCUGAGAGGAUGAUCAGCCACACUGGAACUGAGACACGGUCCAGACUCCUACGGGAGGCAGCAGUGGGGAAUAUUGGACAAUGGGCGCAAGCCUGAUCCAGCCAUACCGCGUGGGUGAAGAAGGCUUUCGGGUUGUAAAGCCCUUUUGUUGGGAAAGAAAAGCAGCAGGUUAAUACCCCGCUGUUCUGACGGUACCCAAAGAAUAAGCACCGGCUAACUUCGUG
rnacentral:rRNA from 1 species